rnacentral:rRNA from 1 species
UACGUAGGGGGCUAGCGUUGUCCGGAUUUAUUGGGCGUAAAGAGCGUGUAGGCGGCCAGGUAGGUCUGCUGUGAAAACUCGAGGCUUAACCUCGAGAGGUCGGUGGAAACCAUCUGGCUAGAGUCCGGAAGAGGAGAGUGGAAUUCCUGGUGUAGCGGUGAAAUGCGCAGAUAUCAGGAAGAACACCCGUGGCGAAGGCGGCUCUCUGGGACGGUACUGACGCUGAGACGCGAAAGCGUGGGGAGCGAACAGG